rnacentral:tRNA from 1 species
GAACGUAUAGCUUACCGGUCAGACCGCUUGGACGGCUUCCAAGAAGCGCUGGUUCAAAUCCCGCUACGUUAA